rnacentral:rRNA from 1 species
UACGGAGGGGGCUAGCGUUGUUCGGAAUUACUGGGCGUAAAGCGCACGUAGGCGGCUAUUUAAGUCAGGGGUGAAAGCCUGGGGCUCAACCUCAGAACUGCCUUUGAGACUGGGUAGCUAGAACACGGGAGAGGUGAGUGGAAUUCCGAGUGUAGAGGUGAAAUUCGUAGAUAUUCGGAAGAACACCAGUGGCGAAGGCGGCUCACUGGACCGUUGUUGACGCUGAGGUGCGAAAGCGUGGGGAGCAAAC